rnacentral:rRNA from 1 species
CAGCCGCCGCGGUAAUACGAGGGGGGCAAGCGUUGUUCGGAAUUAUUGGGCGUAAAGGGUGCGUAGGCGGCCCCGCAAGUCACAUGUGAAAUCUUCAGGCUCAACUUGAAGUCUGCAUGUGAAACUGCGGGGCUGGAGUAUGGGAGAGGUGAGUGGAAUUCCUGGUGUAGCGGUGAAAUGCGUAGAUAUCAGGAGGAACACCUGUGGCGAAAGCGGCUCACUGGACCAUUUCUGACGCUGAUGCACGAAAGCUAGGGGAGCAAACAGGAUUAGAUACCCCCGUAGUCCCUGUCUCUUAUAC